rnacentral:ribozyme from 13 species
AGAAAUAAAAUCAAUCUUAAUCAAAAAGAAAAGGGCUUGAGGACCAAAGAGGACGAAGAGAGAUAUCUCCUCUUUCUUCUCUUUCUUCUUUUUCUUCCUCUUUUCCAACUCCUUCUCUUUCUCUCGAUUCAUUCUCUUCUUCUUGUCUUUUCCUUUUGAAGAACCAGGAUUUGUGUUUGCCAAUUAUAUAUUUCUCCGUUGUUUUGUUUUGAUAUCCAAGUGAUUUCAAAACAAAAAAAACA